rnacentral:rRNA from 1 species
CCUACGGGGGACAGCAGUGAGGAAUAUUGGUCAAUGGACGAGAGUCUGAACCAGCCAAGUAGCGUGAAGGAUGACUGCCCUAUGGGUUGUAAACUUCUUUUAUAUGGGAAUAAAACGUUCCACGUGUGGGAUUUUGUAUGUACCAUAUGAAUAAGGAUCGGCUAACUCCGUGCCAGCAGCCGCGGUAAUACGGAGGAUCCGAGCGUUAUCCGGAUUUAUUGGGUUUAACGGGAGCGUAGGUGGAUUGUUAAGUCAGUUGUGAAAGUUUGCGGCUCAACCGUAAAAUUGCAGUUGAAACUGGCAGUCUUGAGUACAGUAGAGGUGGGCGGAAUUCGUGGUGUAGCGGUGAAAUGCUUAGAUAUCACGAAGAACUCCGAUUGCGAAGGCAGUUCACUGGACUGCAACUGACACUGAGGCUCGAAAGUGUGGGUAUCAAACAGGAUUAGAUACCCGAGUAGUC